rnacentral:rRNA from 1 species
AUUGAACGCUGGCGGCAGGCCUAACACAUGCAAGUCGAGCGAGAGGCGGACGGGUGAGUAAUGUAUGGGGACUGCCCGAUAGAGGGGGAUAACUACUGGAAAAGGUGGCUAAUACCGCAUACUGUCGUGUAACCCAUAUGGGAUUAGCUAGUAGGUGGGGUACAGGAUCACCUAGGGGACGACCUCUAGCUGGUCUGAGAGGAUGAUCAGCCACACUGGGCCGGAGACACGGCCCAGACUCCUACGGAGGCAGCAGUGGGGAAUAUUGCACAAUGGGCGCAAGCCUGAUGCAGCCAUGCCGCGUGUAUGAAGAAGGCCUUAGGGUUGUAAAGUACUUUCAGCGGGGAGGCGUUACCCGCAGAAGAAGCACCGGCUAACUCCGUGCCAGCAGCCGCGGUAAUUC